UACGUAGGGGGCAAGCGUUGUCCGGAUUUAUUGGGCGUAAAGAGCGUGUAGGCGGUUUGGUAGGUCCGUUGUGAAAACUCGAGGCUCAACCUCGAGACGCCGAUGGAAACCAUCAGACUAGAGUCCGGAAGAGGAGAGUGGAAUUCCUGGUGUAGCGGUGAAAUGCGUAGAUAUCAGGAGGAACACCGGUGGUGUAGACGGCUUACUGGACCAUAACUGACGCUGAGACACGAAAGCGUGGGUAGCAAACAGG
rnacentral:rRNA from 1 species